AUUGUGAUGAGGGUGAUGAUCCAGCAGUCCCAAUGUGCUAGGUCCCGGGCUGGGAUCCAUGUCGUCCUUACAACAAUUCAGCAAGAAACAUAUUAUUCGAUCCAUUCACUGAAGAGGAAACUGAAAUCACUCAGAGAGGAGGAGUGAUUCAGCCCCAAAUUCCAAAGUGGUAGAAGUGGACUUGGGCUCAGCUUCCCUAGUGUCUUAGCUACUCCCCCAUCUAACUGUUCAUUCCUGGGACAGGUGAGUCAUUCUGCCUGAACUUCCACAGUUAGACUGAGACAUAAAAUGCUAAUCUACCUGGAAAGACAGGGGUAUAUGUCAGAGCCAUUCUUCAAGAUCAGAUGACCUGUUAAGUCCAAGGACUCAUCUGAACCAUCAGUCACUCUCUGGCCCAGAGAGGUGGUGUUGUUUGCCAAGGACACACAGCAGGUGGCCAAGAUGGAGCCAAGCCAUUUUCCCCACUGCAGGGCUCAUGGUUUCGACUUUGUUGGUUCUCUAGCAGGACGCGGGUGUCCUCAAGGUCACAGGCUCAGCUAAUACCUCGAUCACCCACAGUGGAGGUGAGAGCCUGCCCGCUCUCUAACACUUCUGUGGCCCAGACUAUCCCCACAUCUUACCUUUUGCUCCAGCUCUUUCCUGGCUGUCAGUUCCGAGUCCAGCCUCUCCUCGCAUUGCUGCAGACGCUUUCUGAGGAACUCGUUCUCCAUCUGAGCACAGUCGAAGCGCAUUUGCCACUCGUCUGCUGUUUAACGGAGUCAGGGAGACCAGGAUAAAAGACCAAAUGAGUACCCCUGAUCUCCAUAAGUGUCCCUGACAUUUCAAGGGCACAAAUUCUCUGGACACACGGAGGGAAUAAUGCUGACAUUUUAUAGAAGCUGACCCACUGGAUAUCCUUCUCACCCAACUCCAUUAGGCUAGGGAGAGUAAGAGGCAUGGUGACAAGGUGGCAAAGAUGUCACCAUGCCAUCCAAUCACGAGGUCUCCAGGAAACUGU
rnacentral:antisense_RNA from 1 species